CCCUUAGAUGUCCUGGGCCGCACGCGUGCUACACUGACACUUACACCGAGUUUUUCCAAUGCCGAAAGGCCAUUGGUAAUCAGCAAUAAGUGUCGUGAUGGGGAUAGAUCUUUGGAAUUAUUGAUCUUGAACGAGGAAUGCCUAGUAAUCGUAGGUCAUCAGCCUGCGAUGAUUACGUCCCUGCCCUUUGUACACACCGCCCGUCGCACCUACCGAUUGAAUGGUCCGGUGAAGCCUCGGGAUUGCGAAUGCUUCGUGCGGACGCGAGAACUUGGCUAAACCUUACCAUUUAGAGGAAGGUGAAGUCGUAACA
rnacentral:rRNA from 1 species